rnacentral:lncRNA from 1 species
AGGACCCCUGGCCGCAGCCUGCAGGCAGCCCUAGCCUUGGGAUGGGGGUCUCCCCAGCCCCCUCCAUCUCCUGCCCCGCCCCCCCAAUGUAAAUCUAUAUAUUUAGUGCGAGCUAGUCUUACUCUGAGGUUAUGGCUCCUGGGGUGCCUGAGCCCCCAGGCCCUGACCCGUCCUGCGCCAGCCAAUAAUAUCCCCCCUCCAGGAAGGCUGCUUCCUCAGCUUAAAUAACUUUUUAAAAUAAAACUGCAAAUAUAAAUAUCUUUCUUUCUCAAAAAAUAGGAUUUUUGCUUUUUUUUGUUGAUUUUUACUUUUUUUUCCUCCUGCUUUUCUUUUCACUCUCUUGGUCUCGCCUCCUACAAUCCCAGAUGCCUGGACUGCCUUGGUCCUGGAGGGCCCCUGCCUCCAUUCUAUCACCUGCGACAAGGCCAUUCAGCCAUAGCUGUGGAGGCCGAUGGGUCUCAGUAGUGCAAAGACUCCCCAGAAGACCCUGGAAGGGGCUGGGGAACCCCUCCCCCUCCUACCCAAGACCUCUCCCCCUUGGAAGCAAGCAAAGGGAUAGCCAAGUACAAACAGGCUGACUAGAUGGGACAGCCACGAGGGGUCUCCUGGGCGAGCCGCCCUCGGGGGGGCAGACUUUGGUAUGGCCCAGGGGAGCUCCACUGGGCACAGGCCCAGGCCCACACCCAUGCCAGGCUGGGCCUGGUCUGGCAAUUUACAUUCACUGGUUUUUAAGGUUUUUUUUUUUUUUUUUUUUUUUUUUUUUUUUUUGCCUUUUUUUUCUCUUAAUCUCAAAAGGCAGGGUGGGGAUCAAGGUGGGGGGCUAGGCAGGGAGCAGCAGCAAGGGUGCAAAUCUCUCUCUCCCGGGUCCUGUGGGCUGGUGACUGCGCCAGGUGAGGGCUCCGACCCCACCAUCCCGCCAGGCCCACGGCCCCCACCCUCACCCUGGGGCGCCCCCCGGAGCCCCCACCUGAAGCCCCCCUGCCUGGACCUCACUCUCGAACACACGUGCACACACAC